UACAGAGGUGGCAAGCGUUAAUCGGAAUUACUGGGCGUAAAGCGCACGUAGGCGGUUUUUUAAGUCAGAUGUGAAAGCCCCGGGCUCAACCUGGGAAUUGCAUUUGAAACUGGGAAACUAGAGUGUGUGAGAGGGGGGUAGAAUUCCAAGUGUAGCGGUGAAAUGCGUAGAGAUUUGGAGGAAUACCAGUGGCGAAGGCGGCCCCCUGGCACAACACUGACGCUCAGGUGCGAAAGCGUGGGGAGCAAACAGG
rnacentral:rRNA from 1 species